rnacentral:lncRNA from 1 species
CUGCUUAGACCGGCAACGAUAAGGAAGGAGAUCAAUGGAUAAUGGGAUAUAGAAGUCAGGUGCGACGGGCAGCUCAGUCAGAGCGGAAGCGGUCAGGCAAGGUUAUCGUCAGACAAUGUAGUGCAAGCGACGGGUAGCGCUUGCCAUAUGAAGAAGGCGACUACAAUGGGAGACGAAGGCGACGUGGGCUUGCCAUAUAGAUGUAGCGCUUGCAAGGCAAUUCAGACGACGUUAGCAAGAUGUAGCGCUAGCUAGGUUAGGGUAGCGCUUGCCAUAAAGAAGCUAGCCAGAAAGCAGGUCAGGCAGGCGAGCGAUAGUACAAGCAAGCUAACACGCGGGCGAGGUUGAAGGGGUCUUGCGCAACCUUCGGAUUAUCGCAAGCGCAACCUUUGACCCCUUCGUCGACAACCUCUCAUUUGUUCGACUACUCGCGGGGCCUGCUGCGUUUAGGUAUAAGAAGCCCCACCCGGGAAAAGAGUGUAAAGCAGUACUCAUGUUAAAUUGUGUCCCUUGUAAACGAAAGAGCUCAUGCCAUAAAUUGCUAAUGAAGACCGGGUCCCCAGUCGCUGA